AAGAACCUGAAUAUUGAUGUUUAUAGCAGCUUUCUUCAUAAUUGCCAAAACUUGGAAGCAACCAAACUUUCCUUCAGUAAGUGAAUGACUAAAUAAGCUAUUCCAUGCAAUGGAAUAUUAUUCAGUACUGAAAGGAAAUGAGCUUUGAAAAGAUAUGGAGGGAACUUAAAUGCAUAGUACAAUCAAAAGGGGCCAAUCUGUAAAGUCUACAUUCUGUAUGACAUUCUGGAAAAGGCAAAACGAUGGUAAGGGUAAAAAGAUCAGUGGUUUCCUGGGGUUAGGGGCUGGGAAAAGGAAGAAGGGAAGAAUUGGUGAAAGCGGAUUUUUAGGACAGUGAGACUCCUCAAUAUGAGACUGUAUACAUUUGCCCAAACCCAUAGAAAGGAUAAGACCAAGAGUGAACCCUAAACUGUGGACUUUGGAUGACGAUGAUGUGUCAAUGUAGGCUCAUUACUCGUAACAAAUGUAGCACUCUGGUGGGAGAUGUUGAUAAUGGCAGGAGGCUAUUUAUAUGUGCAGGCAGGGUACAUGGGAAAUCCCUGUCCUACAGCUCAAUUUUGCUAUGAAUUUAAAUUGCUGUAAACAAAGUCUUAACAAAAAUAAUGUCUUAAUAUUUCAAUAUUUGAAAUCACAUAGUAUGCUGCAUUUGCUACCUCUACUAUGCAUGUAUGUAUGUUUAUAUGUGUGCAUAUAACUAUAUGCAUUUACACAUAUGUAUAUAAAUAUGUUUCUGUAUAUGUGUAUUACUGGUGGAGUAUGUUAGCACAGUGUGUGAUGUGUAUGCCACAUGUGAUUUUACAUAUAUGGAUGUAUGUGUAUAUUUAUAUACAUGUGUGCAUAUGUGUUGAGACUUCAGUAUAUACUAGGCUCAGUACAUGAGACUUUAUUCAUUUCAAUUUCCCAAGACUCCCACAGUGUUGUUGUCUUCCCCAUUGGACCUUUAAGGACAAGGAGAAGAUGGGUAUGAAGGCUGAGGUCCACCCACAUUGGGUCCCACUGCUUGGAUUCACCUGUAUCUAGAAUUUCUGGUGACCCCCUUAUGACUGCCUGAUACAUCUGUAUCUAGAAUUCCUGAUGACCCCUUGCUGCAUAACUUUUAUUAAACACUUUUCUCUUCCUAUACUGGGAGCAGAUGGCCUUUGAUUACUAGAUAGUUUGUUUCUUUACAGCAGUUGAUUAACUUCCAGCUUUCUUAUUUGCAUUCCUGUCUAAAAACAUGUCUAGGCACCCUGUUUGGAAAUAGGUGAUCUCAUAUCUCCUCAGCUGCAUCUCUCUGGAAGGGACACAUUUGAACGAGACCUUCAUGAUAGUUGGCUGAAGUUUCCUGACUUUAUCAUCAAAUCCUGGAGGAACUCUCCUUUCCACUGUUGCUUCUUAGCAGUGUGUAAAAGAACCAUAGAGCCCUGUGCCUCUGCCAGGGAAGAUAUGACCAGGUCAUGGAGACUCACUUGUGGGAAGCUGGUUUAGUAGAUACCUUCAGUGUCCUGGUAGGAUGGGCAUGAAUCCAAGUGGCAUCAGACUUGAUAGACUUUCUUGUAAGGAGAAAACAGCCUCAUAGGCUUUCUUUGGGGUUAAUGAAAGCCUCCAUAAUUUUUAUGUUUUUCUAGAUGCUGAUUAGCUUUCCUGUGUAUAAUUCUUCAAAAUAAAAUUAGGACCUCUAGGGUUAUUCUUACUACUCAUCUCAACUCCAGAAUUUUAGAGAAAUAAUGGUUCCAAUCUUUGAGUAAAUCAAGAAAAGCCAUUAUGAAAUGCCAUUGCCCACCCUGUUGUUUAGUUCAUAUUGCUCAGACCGAGUUAUUCCUGGAUCACAAAAGCUGGCCCAGGAGGCAUCAUCUCCUGGCUUUCUGAAAUGGCUUUUCUGCAUCCUGGGACACCAGUCCCUCAGUGGAAAUCUAU